rnacentral:rRNA from 1 species
AGAACGAACGCUGGCGGCAUGCCUAACACAUGCAAGUCGAACGAGACCUUCGGGUCUAGUGGCGCACGGGUGCGUAACGCGUGGGAAUCUGCCCUUGGGUUCGGAAUAACAGUUGGAAACGACUGCUAAUACCGGAUGAUGACGUAAGUCCAAAGAUUUAUCGCCCAGGGAUGAGCCCGCGUAGGAUUAGCUAGUUGGUGAGGUAAAGGCUCACCAAGGCGACGAUCCUUAGCUGGUCUGAGAGGAUGAUCGGCCACACUGGGACUGAGACACGGCCCAGACUCCUACGGGAGGCAGCAGUGGGGAAUAUUGGACAAUGGGCGAAAGCCUGAUCCAGCAAUGCCGCGUGAGUGAUGAAGGCCUUCGGUUGUAAAGCUCUUUUACCCGGGAUGAUAAUGACAGUACCGGAGAAUAAGCUCCGGCUAACUCCGUGCCAAGCAGCCGC